rnacentral:rRNA from 1 species
CCUACGGGAGGCAGCAGUGAGGAAUAUUGGUCAAUGGGCGGGAGCCUGAACCAGCCAAGUCGCGUGAGGGAAGACGGUCCUAUGGAUUGUAAACCUCUUUAGGCGGGGAGCAAUGCCGGGCACGCGUGCCCGGAGGGAGAGUACCCGCAGACUAAGCAUCGGCUAACUCCGUGCCAGCAGCCGCGGUAAUACGGAGGAUGCGAGCGUUAUCCGGAUGUAUUGGGUUUAAAGGGUGCGUAGGCGGAUUUUUAAGUCAGCGGUAAAAUGUCCGGGCUCAACCCGGGCCGGCCGUUGAAACUGGGGAUCUUGAGUGGGCGAGAAGUAGGCGGAAUGCGUGGUGUAGCGGUGAAAUGCAUAGAUAUCACGCAGAACUCCGAUUGCGAAGGCAGCAUACCGGCGCCCGACUGACGCUGAGGCACGAAAGCGUGGGGAUCGAACAGGAUUAGAUACCCCUGUAGUC